AGUGACCAAAGGCGUGUGAAUGGGGUGUGGUGCCUGGCCGGGAGCAGCUCAUGGUGACGUGGACAGCCCCGUUGGGGGCGGCUCCACGGCGCUCCACGGGAACAGACUGACUGACUCGGCUCCGUCAUUACUACAUCUGGUGACCCCGACGUGAUACCCCCUGCUCAUCGGCUGGAACAGCCCCCGGUGCACCGAUAUUCGCUAGAAAAGCUUCAUUUCGUCCGUUGUGGGUCCCUGCCAAGAACGUGCGACCGUGGCACAAUGACGUGGCAUCAAAGCCUCAAAAACCCGAUAUCCAACUUCAAUCUGCCUAACCAAGACCUUUCCAGUGUGCCGAGCCACAAAGACGGCACCAGAGGUUACCUGGGGGCAGGUGAAACGACUAGCGCAGCAGGCUCAGCAAACGCUGGAAAAUAACAAGUCCAAGCCUACCCCCGAGAAUUUUACUGCUGCUAUUUUUGCUUGUUUGAUUGCUAAUUUUUUUACCAUAUUGUUGUGUUGUUUUUGUGUGUUACAGGCUAGGGCCGAACCUGAAUAGCAUAACCGUAUGUGUUAUAAUAUAUGGGCUUAACUUGUGA